GACAGAGGUCUCGAGCGUUAGGCGGAAUCACUGGGCUUAAAGCGUGUGUAGGUGGAUGCCUAAGUACCUUGUGAAAUCCCACGGCUUAACCGUGGAACUGCUUGGUAUACUGGGUGUCUUGAGCCAGCUAGGGGCUACCGGAACAAAUGGUGGAGCGGUGAAAUGCGUAGAUAUCAUUUGGAACGCCAAUGGGUGAAAACAGGUAGCUGGGGCUGUGCUGACACUGAGACACGAAAGCCAGGGGAGCGAACGGG
rnacentral:rRNA from 1 species